UACGUAGGGUGCGAGCGUUGUCCGGAAUUAUUGGGCGUAAAGGGCUCGUAGGCGGUUUGUCGCGUCGGGAGUGAAAACCUCGGGCUUAACUGGGGGCGUGCGGGCGAUACGGGCAGACUGGAGUACUGCAGGGGAGACUGGAAUUCCUGGUGUAGCGGUGGAAUGCGCAGAUAUCAGGAGGAACACCGGUGGCGAAGGCGGGUCUCUGGGCAGUAACUGACGCUGAGGAGCGAAAGCGUGGGGAGCGAACAGG
rnacentral:rRNA from 1 species